GUCCUGACCCCCACCACCCACUACAGGUCAUGACUUCCCUACUACAGAACCAGACCCACCCAACUACUGGCCCUGACACCCCACUACAGUGAGCUUGUCUGUAGUGAACAUGUAUGUGUGUGUCAGUGAGCUUGUCCAUAAUAAUCAUAUGUAUGUGUGUCAGAGAGCUUUUCUGUAGUGAGCAUGUGUGUGUCAGCUUGUCUGUAGUGAGCGUUUGUGUGUGUGUGUGAUAGUAGGCUGGCCUGUAGUAAGUUUGUGUUUGUAUACCAAUGAGUUUGUCUGUAGUAACCGUGUGAGUGUGUGUGUACCAGCAACCUUGUCUGUGUGUCAGUGAGCCUAUAAGUGUGUAUCUUGUGUUUUUCUGUCUACACCUUAUAUGUAUCAAUGAGAUUGUCUAUCUGUGAACCUGUGUAUCAAUGAGUUUGUGUGCUUGUGUCAGUGAGAUUGCAUGUAUGCUUAC